rnacentral:rRNA from 1 species
AGAUAAGGAGCUUGCUCCUUUGACGUUAGCGGCGGACGGGUGAGUAACACGUGGGUAACCUACCUAUAAGACUGGAAUAACUCCGGGAAACCGGGGCUAAUGCCGGAUAACAUUUAGAACCGCAUGGUUCUAAAGUGAAAGAUGGUUUUGCUAUCACUUAUAGAUGGACCCGCGCCGUAUUAGCUAGUUGGUAAGGUAAUGGCUUACCAAGGCAACGAUACGUAGCCGACAUGAGAGGGUGAUCGGCCACACUGGAACUGAGACACGGUCCAGACUCCUACGGGAGGCAGCAGUAGGGAAUCUUCCGCAAUGGGCGAAAGCCUGACGGAGCAACGCCGCGUGAGUGAUGAAGGGUUUCGGCUCGUAAAACUCUGUUAUUAGGGAGGAACAAACGUGUAAGUAACUGUGCACGUCUUGACGGUACCUAAUCAGAAAGCCACUGCUAACUACGUGCCAGCAGCCGCGGUAAUACGUAGGUGGCAAGCGUUAUCCGGAAUUAUUGGGCGUAAAGCGCGCGUAGGCGGUUUCUUAAGUCUGAUGUGAAAGCCCACGGCUCAACCGUGGAGGGUCAUUGGAAACUGGGAGACUUGAGUGCAGAAGAGGAAAGUGGAAUUCCAUGUGUAGCGGUGAAAUGCGCAGAGAUAUGGAGGAACACCAGUGGCGAAGGCGACUUUCUGGUCUGUAACUGACGCUGAUGUGCGAAAGCGUGGGGAUCAAACAGGAUUAGAUACCCUGGUAGUCCACGCCGUAAACGAUGAGUGCUAAGUGUUAGGGGGUUUCCGCCCCUUAGUGCUGCAGCUAACGCAUUAAGCACUCCGCCUGGGGAGUACGACCGCAAGGUUGAAACUCAAAGGAAUUGACGGGGACCCGCACAAGCGGUGGAGCAUGUG